rnacentral:misc_RNA from 1 species
AAAAUGCGAUACGUAAUGCGAAUUGCAGAAUUCAGUGAAUCAUCAAAUCUUUGAACGCAAAUUGCGCUCUCGGGAUAGGCCUGGGAGCACGCCUCUUUGAGUAUCGUUUCAACCACAACUCGUCUGCGUGCUUCAUUGCAUCGCUUGACGGAGAAUGAGCGCUCUCGUGUUCUGCGAGACGCUUGAAAUUGAGCGAGUGACUUGACUUCUGUCGAAAGACGGACUCUUGUCUGUUGUGACGAGGAUAACUUCACAUUCAGUUGUGAACCCUUCCAUCGUGACUACGAGACUGAGAGGCCUCUUGAGUCGGUUGUCGAACGGUCACGGCCUGUCUGUGGAUCAUCUGCCGGUGAUCGCAGAAACUCAUCUUGAACUAGAUCUCAAAUGAAGCGAGAAAACC